rnacentral:rRNA from 1 species
CAGUAGCCACGGGAAUACGAAGGGGGCUAGCGUUGCUCGGAAUGACUGGGCGUAAAGGGCGCGUAGGCGGAUGGCACAGUCAGAUGUGAAAUUCCCGGGCUUAACCUGGGGGCUGCAUUUGAUACGUGUUGUCUAGAGUGAGGAAGAGGGUCGUGGAAUUCCCAGUGUAGAGGUGAAAUUCGUAGAUAUUGGGAAGAACACCGGUGGCGAAGGCGGCGACCUGGUCCUUUACUGACGCUGAGGCGCGAAAGCGUGAGGAGCAAACAGGAUUAGAUACCCGCGUAGUCCCUGUCUCUUAUAC